GGAUGUGAGGCUGAUCUGGCUGGCUAGGCAGGUGUCCCCUUCCUCCUUCACUGCUCCAUGUGCUUCCCUCCUGAAGCUGCGCACUGGGUCAAAGAGGAUGGCCUUCCCCGACCAUAUAUAAGGGUAUAUGAGGGUAAUAGGAGUAGCUGCACUCCCCUGCUAGAACCUCCAAACAAGCUCUCAAGAAAUUUGCUGGGACCUUGAUGAAAUUUCAUUAAAUAUGUAUAUAGUUCUGGACUGAAUAGUCAUUUUGACAAUAUUAAUUCC
rnacentral:snRNA from 1 species